rnacentral:rRNA from 1 species
CACUAACGCUGGCGGCGCGCCUAACACAUGCAAGUCGAACGAGAGAUGAGGAGCUUGCUCUUCAAAUCGAGUGGCGAACGGGUGAGUAACGCGUGAGGAACCUGCCUCAAAGAGGGGGACAACAGUUGGAAACGACUGCUAAUACCGCAUAAGCCCACGGCUCGGCAUCGAGCAGAGGGAAAAGGAGCAAUCCGCUUUGAGAUGGCCUCGCGUCCGAUUAGCUAGUUGGUGAGGUAACGGCCCACCAAGGCGACGAUCGGUAGCCGGACUGAGAGGUUGAACGGCCACAUUGGGACUGAGACACGGCCCAGACUCCUACGGGAGGCAGCAGUGGGGAAUAUUGCACAAUGGGGGAAACCCUGAUGCAGCGACGCCGCGUGGAGGAAGAAGGUCUUCGGAUUGUAAACUCCUGUUGUUGAGGAAGAUAAUGACGGUACUCAACAAGGAAGUGACGGCUAACUACGUGCCAGCAGCCGCGGUAAAACGUAGGUCACAAGCGUUGUCCGGAAUUACUGGGUGUAAAGGGAGCGCAGGCGGGAGAACAAGUUGGAAGUGAAAUCCAUGGGCUCAACCCAUGAACUGCCUUCAAAACUGUUUUUCUUGAGUAGUGCAGAGGUAGGCAGAAUUCCCGGUGUAGCGGUGGAAUGCGUAGAUAUCGGGAGGAACACCAGUGGCGAAGGCGGCCUACUGGGCACCAACUGACGCUGAGGCUCGAAAGUGUGGGUAGCAAACAGGAUUAGAUACCCUGGUAGUCCACACCGUAAACGAUGAUUACUAGGUGUUGGAGGAUUGACCCCUUCAGUGCCGCAGUUAACACAAUAAGUAAUCCACCUGGGGAGUACGACCGCAAGGUUGAAACUCAAAGGAAUUGACGGGGGCCCGCACAAGCAGUGGAGUAUGUGGUUUAAUUCGACGCAACGCGAAGAACCUUACCAAGUCUUGACAUCCCUUGACGAUGCUGGAAACAGUAUUUCUCUUCGGAGCAAGGAGACAGGUGGUGCAUGGUUGUCGUCAGCUCGUGUCAUGAGAUGUUGGGUUAAGUCCCGCAACGAGCGCAACCCUUAUGGUCAGUUACUACGCAAGAGGACUCUGGCCAGACUGCCGUUGACAAAACGGAGGAAGGUGGGGAUGACGUCAAAUCAUCAUGCCCUUUAUGACUUGGGCUACACACGUACUACAAUGGCGUUAAACAAAGAGAAGCAAGACCGCGAGGUGGAGCAAAACUCAGAAACAACGUCCCAGUUCGGACUGCAGGCUGCAACUCGCCUGCACGAAGUCGGAAUUGCUAGUAAUCGUGGAUCAGCAUGCCACGGUGAAUACGUUCCCGGGCCUU